rnacentral:tRNA from 1 species
AGAGUUUUAGUUUAUUUAGAAUUUUUCCCUUACAAGGAAAGGGUUUUAACUCUU